GCUGGCGGCAGGCUUAACACAUGCAAGUCGAGCGCGUAGCAAUACGAGCGGCAGACGGGUGAGUAACGCGUGGGAAUCUACCCAUCUCUACGGAACAACUCCGGGAAACUGGAGCUAAUACCGUAUACGUCCUUUUGGAGAAAGAUUUAUCGGAGAUGGAUGAGCCCGCGUUGGAUUAGCUAGUUGGUGGGGUAAUGGCCUACCAAGGCGACGAUCCAUAGCUGGUCUGAGAGGAUGAUCAGCCACACUGGGACUGAGACACGGCCCAGACUCCUACGGGAGGCAGCAGUGGGGAAUAUUGGACAAUGGGCGCAAGCCUGAUCCAGCCAUGCCGCGUGAGUGAUGAAGGCCCUAGGGUUGUAAAGCUCUUUCAACGGUGAAGAUAAU
rnacentral:rRNA from 1 species